rnacentral:lncRNA from 1 species
AUGAUCCUCACAGUACCAUUUGGAAGUGGAAGGGCAACAUGUGAUCUCCAGUCCUCAUGGAACAUCCAGUAUCAUGUGUCACACAUGGGAUAUCAGGAUAUCACGUAUCUUGGAUAUCUACAGUACAGCUACGUAUGCAGCCCUUUCAGUUCCCUUUGUGAAAUCACUCCUGAUUCUGGAAACCAACCUCACCCACUGCAAGUGCUUGCUGUAUCAUGCAUUUACAAUAAUUUGGGGGCCAUCACUUUGAUCACAGAGAAAAACUCCACUGUAUUCCCUAUACUCAAAGCAAGAACUGUAGGAGUCCAAAUCUUCCUACAGUGGAUCUCAGAGUCACUGCGUCAUCAAUGUAUGGCACCAGGAGCUGAGUGAACUUUCCAUGCUGCUUGACCAGCAUUAGAUUCUGCUGUAUGUAUCCAGAGUGGGAAAUGAUGUAAGAAGAGUUAAACUGAUUACCUUAAAAUACUGCAAGAAUCUACUUAACUGGCUAGUUGUGAUAAAUAUAUUGUAGGUCAUUAGACGUCUUGGGUAAGUGUCCCUUCUUUUUCAGCUGGAAAAUGCAACUUCAUAAAGUGGAAGGAGAAACAACAGUAGGGCCCUUGCUAGCAGUAGUCUCAGCAUAAAACUGCGAAUUAUGUUUAAAAAACCCAACAUGUUCUAAAGAACUACAGAUAUGUCUGUGGGAGAGCCAGGAAAAUUCUGAAUGUAGAUGGAUCCAAUUCUCAUAUAACUGCAGACAACUUGGAAAGAGAAGAGUGCACCUGAUCUGUUAUUAGGUCCAGGUAGAUGAUCCAGCUUCAGUACCUGGGCCUUUGCCCUAUUCCUAUUCAUUUUAUUAGCAUGGAUGUAACCAAAGCCUCCUGUUACAGAACUGGGGUCAAAUGGAUACAGCUGGAAGUUGAGUAUGAGAGCAGAAAUCAGAUUAUGUAUUAUAUAUUUUCAUAUGUGCAUAUAUGUAUUAAACAAGCUUAAGGGAAGAGGAAAUUCUGUAGUGUCUUAAAUCUUGCAAUACUUUCCUCUACUACAGUAUUUUCUACUUUGUCUAAUUACCUGGAACAUUCUGAAAUACAUUAUAAUAUUAUGAUAGAAGAUGAUCACCCAAGGAGUUAACUCAAAUCUCACCUAUUUCUCCAUCAUUCUUCCUCCUGAAGAGUCUUAAUUCACACAUCUGUGUCAGUUCUUGUGGAUCAGAGCUAGCUCUAAGCUUUUAGCUUGUCCAAGAAGUUAAAAUGAACACUCUACAACUGUGGAACAACAGCAGAUGAGCUUCACAAGCACCAGUGAAAUCAAUUUCACAAGAACUCAAGGUGGAAGAGAAGCUGUUCUCAGUCAGGAGCCAGAGUCUAUCAACAGAAAUUCAUGUCAGCCCUUUGACUUCAAAAGAUCCAUGCCAGUUUACUGCAGUCCUUGUUUGGGGAUCAAACACAGUCCUCAUAACAAUGCUUUUGCUACAACUUUCCUCUCCCAGCAGAGCUAUGUCUGAUUUAGCUCAUGAAUAUGUUUAUGUGCUGUACUGUCAAGUGGUGCUGUGGAUUUGGGAUGUAGUGGUGUAUCAGUAAGGGGCACAGAGGAUGAAAUGAACCUAUGUAUGGGCCAAAAGGGAUCACUUCCUUUGGAAUACGUUUGUGUUCCAUCUUACGUAGUUAUCUACAUGUGGGUAAAGUCCCCUUUUAUGACAACAGUGGAUUUUCAAUCAUCUUUCUAUUCCUAGUUAACCUUAAGGUAAAGCAAUCUGCUCUCAAGAAUUAGGACUUUAUCCAGGCAAGCUGACCUUUUUCAGGAGGAACAUUUUACCAAGUGGAAAGCAUUGCCAGUUAAUAGUAUUAAAUUAGUGUGCAGACAAUCAUUUUCCUCGAUUUUCUUCUUUAUUUUUCCUCUAAACCUGCCUCUGAGCUGAAAUGCUAUCUUUUUGAAAUCAGAGAUAUGACCUCUCUCUUCCUUCCUUAGCCUAGAGGGAUAAAAUAAGAAUAAUAAAAACUAGUCAAAUCAUCUGUUUAGUCUCA